rnacentral:rRNA from 1 species
AUACGGAGGGUGCAAGCGUUGUUCGGAAUCACUGGGCGUAAAGGGCGCGCAGGCGGUUUGGUAAGUCAGAUGUGAAAGCCCACGGCUCAACCGUGGAAGUGCAUUUGAAACUGCCAGACUUGAGUACCAGAGGGGAAAGUGGAAUUCCCGGUGUAGAGGUGAAAUUCGUAGAUAUCGGGAGGAAUACCGGUGGCGAAGGCGACUUUCUGGCUGGAUACUGACGCUGAGGCGCGAAUGCGUGGGGAGCAAACAGGAUUAGAAACCCUGGUAGUCC